rnacentral:rRNA from 1 species
UACGUAGGGACCGAGCGUUGUCCGGAUUCAUUGGGCGUAAAGAGCUCGUAGGCGGCCACUCAAGUCGAAUGUGAAACCUCCAGGCUCAACCUGGAGACGCCACUUGAUACUGCUGUGACUGGAGUCCGGUAGGGGAGCGUGGAAUUCCUGGUGUAGCGGUGAAAUGCGCAGAUAUCAGGAGGAACACCAGCGGCGAAGGCGGCGCUCUGGGCCGGUACUGACACUGAGGAGCGAAAGCGUGGGUAGCAAACAGG